UAAUGCCUGACAAGUUAAGCUAAGUAGCUAACUAGCCAAAAUGAGUUGAAAACAAAUGUCGGUGGAGAGAGCCUUUGAAAGGGGAAAAGGCCCAAUGUUGAGACAGCAGAAAAGCCUAUGACUGUGAAGAAAAUGUGAAAUAGUGGGAAAUACCAGGAGUCCUACUUAAAAUACGGCUUUAUUGCGACAGGUGAUUCACAUGCUCCAGGCGCCCUCUACAUGUGGCUACAGGCUGUCUAAUAAGGCUAUGAAGUAUUCAAAACUGCUUCGACACAUAGAGGCAAAGCACCCUCCAUUAAAAGCCUGAACCAAAGUUCUUUGAAAAUCAAAACGUGAACAUGAAAAACAGAAUUCUUCAGGGCCACAACAGCAACAAGUGUAGCUGCAGUAAGAACACCGUACUUCGUUGCUAACCGUGUUGCUAAGGCUAAGAAGCCUUUCACUGUUGGUGAAGAGCUGAUGCUGCCUGCUGCUGCGUUAUGGGUCCGCGAUGAGGAGGGUAAAGUCUGCGGUUGUUGCUGCCUUUCAUCGCGUCACAGCCCUUUACACCACAGAUCGACUGCCCCGAUGCUGACUUAUAAGCUACAGUCUGGAUGUUUGCCCAGGCUGUUUUGAUUUUGCAGCGGGUGAGUGGCAGUCUCGACCCCACCUGACCCCCAGCCCGGCUUCUGCUGAUGUCAGCAUCUUGCAGCAGAUUGGAGCGUGCAAUUUUUAAACAAAGCCCAAGUCUCGGCCCCCCAAGGGGGGCUCAUCCACUCUAUUCCUUAAAGGGGCCGUACACUGAUUCAACUAGUGGCUGUUUUUGGCACACUUGGAUUUCUCCCUUGUUUUUUUCUUUCUUCACAACACAUGCUUCUCUUGUUCAUUUCUAUUUCACAUGGUUGACCCUGUGCACUUAACAGUUUUAAUAUCAGUUUGUUGGUAUGAGUUGUCACUACUUGUUGCAUAAGCAAAGAAUAAUCUUCUUGAGGCAAAACACAACAAGUGAAACCAGUGACAGCUUAUGGCUGGAUGCCGUGCCUGGCCAAGGAUAUCCUGCCAUGCCCUCUUCUUGUCUGAAUGAGCUCUCUGUGGAGGAGAAAGUGAGCAUUAUGAAACCUCCCCAUAAUUUGCCCUCUUAUCGCCACUGUCUGUCCUAUCUCCCAUCUUAGACACACUGACCCACACUCAUCACAUUCAUCAUAUUUAUUGGUCUUUUUUGACGUUACAGAGCCAGACCUUGGCCAGGACACCCCUAAAUAAAUGAAUGUUAAUGAGGUUAAAUAAGAGGAAAAUAAUUCAAUUUCUGCAUUUCAAUCUGUGGUCUGAAAUAGCCAGCAGCCUGCACAGGAACAGGUUAUUGAUCCAUGUUGUGACUGAGUUGCAGCAGUUUGAUAUGU